rnacentral:rRNA from 1 species
GGGGAAUCUUGCGCAAUGGGCGAAAGCCUGACGCAGCGACGCCGCGUGAGUGAUGAAGGCCUUCGGGUUGUAAAGCUCUGUGGAGGGGGACGAAUAAGUGUCGUCGAAUAGGCGGCAUGAUGACGGUACCCCUUUAGCAAGCACCGGCUAACUCUGUGCCAGCAGCCGCGGUAAGACAGAGGGUGCAAACGUUGUUCGGAAUUACUGGGCGUAAAGCGCGUGUAGGCUGCUCGGAUAGUCGGGUGUGAAAGCCCUGGGCUCAACCCAGGAAGUGCAUUCGAUACUGCCGAGCUUGAGUCCUGGAGAGGAAGGCGGAAUUCUCGGUGUAGAGGUGAAAUUCGUAGAUAUCGAGAGGAACACCGGUGGCGAAGGCGGCCUUCUGGACAGUGACUGACGCUGAGACGCGAAAGCGUGGGGAGCAAA